AUGAUGGCUGGCGAGGACGGUUACAGUUCCGAGGAGUUGAGCGAAGACGAGCAAGAGCAGGAGGCGGCUGCGGCGGCUCAGGCAUCCUUCCGCGAGAUCGUGGCUCAGGCUCGGGUUCGGCAGAGGAACAGGCUUGGUGCCAUACCCAAGCUUCGGGUGCAAGAUGAGGACGUCAUCUUCAUCCUGUCGCUGGAGAGGGAUGGCAUUGACUACCUCGACGGCGACGGCCGCCGGUACACGCCCGAGAGGGUCAAGGAUAAGGUUGACAUGAUCCUCAAGGACGACGAGGACUGCGAGAUCGAGGAGCGGCAGGCCUGGGUGAUGCGAGAGCUGAGCGACAAGGGCUACGCCGAGGCCGACAACUACCGCGUGGCCGACGACGGCGUGUACAGAGACGAGAUCAACGAGUGGACCAGGAUACAGGGGGAGAGAAUCCAGGCGGCCAGCGCGAGACGUCGUCUUGCUCGCAUGAGAGUCGCCGUCAAAGACGACCGCGAGGAAGACUACUACUCAGAGGAAGACGACGACGACGAGGAAGACGAAAUUGAGAAAGACACCAAUGCCUGUGGCAACACUGCCAUUUGGUAA
rnacentral:rRNA from 1 species